rnacentral:rRNA from 1 species
CGAACGGGUGAGGAACACGUGAGAAACCUGCCUUUCAUUCUGGGAUAACACCGGGAAACCGGUGCUAAUACCGGAUACUCCGUCUUGGCGGCAUCGCCGAGCCGGGAAAAAAUUUGAUGAAAGAUGGUCUCGCGGCCUAUCAGCUAGUUGGUGAGGUAAUGGCUCACCAAGGCGACGACGGGUAGCCGGCCUGAGAGGGCGACCGGCCACACUGGGACUGAGACACGGCCCAGACUCCUACGGGAGGCAGCAGUAGGGAAUAUUGGGCAAUGGGCGCAAGCCUGACCCAGCGACGCCGCGUGAGGGAUGAAGGUCUUCGGAUUGUAAACCUCUUUCAGUAGGGAAGAAGCGAAAGUGACGGUACCUAAAGAAGAAGCACCGGCUAACUAUGUGCCAGCAGCCGCGGUAAUACAUAGGGUGCAAGCGUUGUCCGGAAUUAUUGGGCGUAAAGAGCUCGUAGGUCGUUUGUCGCGUCGAUUGUGAAAAUCUGAGGCUCAACCUCAGACCUGCAGUCGAUACGGGCAAACUAGAGUGUGGUAGGGGGGACUGGAAUUCCUGGUGUAGCGGUGGAAUGCGCAGAUAUCAGGAGGAACACCAAUGGCGAAGGCAGGUCUCUGGGCCAUAACUGACACUGAGGAGCGAAAGUGCGGGGAGCGAACAGGAUUAGAUACCCUGGUAGUCCGCACCGUAAACGGUGGGCACUAGUUGUGGGAACCUUCCACGGUUUCCGCGACGCAGCAAACGCAUUAAGUGCCCCGCCUGGGGAGUACGAUCGCAAGAUUAAAACUCAAAGGAAUUGACGGGGCCCCGCACAAGCAGCGGAGCAUGCGGCUUAAUUCGACGCAACGCGAAGAACCUUACCAAGGCUUGACAUAUAGCGAAAAGUGGCAGAGAUGUCAUGUCCGCAAGGGCGCUAUACAGGUGGUGCAUGGUUGUCGUCAGCUCGUGUCGUGAGAUGUUGGGUUAAGUCCCGCAACGAGCGCAACCCUCGUUCUGUGUUACCAGCAUUUAGUUGGGGACUCACAGGAGACUGCCGGGGUCAACUCGGAGGAAGGUGGGGAUGACGUCAAAUCAUCAUGCCCCUUAUGUCUUGGGCUGCACGCAUGCUACAAUGGCCGGUACA